AACGAACGCUGGCGGCAGGCCUAACACAUGCAAGUCGAACGCCCCGCAAGGGGAGUGGCGCACGGGUGAGUAACGCGUGGGAAUAUGCCCUUCGGUUCGGAAUAACACAGGGAAACUGGUGCUAAUACCGGAUACGAUCUACGGAUGAAAGAUUUAUCGCAGAGGGAGUAGCCCGCGUAGGAUUAGCUAGUUGGUGAGGUAAUGGCCCACAAAGGCGACGAUCCUUAGCUGGUCUGAGAGGAUGAUCAGCCACACUGGGACUGAGACACGGCCCAGACUCCUACGGGAGGCAGCAGUGGGGAAUAUUGGACAAUGGGCGAAAGCCUGAUCCAGCCAUGCCGCGUGAGUGAUGAAGGCCUUAGGGUUGUAAAGCUCUUUCGCCAGGGAAGAUAAUGACGGUACCUGGAAAAGAGGCCUCGGCUAACUCCGUGCCAGCCGCCGCAGUAA
rnacentral:rRNA from 1 species